rnacentral:rRNA from 1 species
GACGAACCGUCCAAACGUUAUUCGGAAUCACUGGGCUUACAGAGUUCGUAGGCGGUCUGGAAAGUUGGGUGUGAAAUCCCUCGGCUCAACCGAGGAACUGCGCUUGAAACUACCAGACUCGAGGGAGAUAGAGGAAAGCGGAACUGAUGGUGGAGCGGUGAAAUGCGUUGAUAUCAUCAGGAACACCGGUGGCGAAGGCGGCUUUCUGGGUCUUACCUGACGCUGAGGAACGAAAGCUAGGGGGAGCGAACGGGA